UACGAAGGGGGCUAGCGUUGCUCGGAAUGACUGGGCGUAAAGGGCGCGUAGGCGGUGGACACAGUCAGGCGUGAAAUUCCUGGGCUCAACCUGGGGGCUGCGUUUGAUACGUGUUUGCUAGAGUGGGGAAGAGGGUCGUGGAAUUCCCAGUGUAGAGGUGAAAAUUCGUAGAUAUUGGGGAAGAACACCGGUGGCGAAGGCGGCGACCUGGUCCUUGACUGACGCUGAGGCGCGAAAGCUGGGG
rnacentral:rRNA from 1 species